rnacentral:rRNA from 1 species
CAGCUUACACAUGCAGUCGAGCGGGGAAGGUAGCUUGCUACUGGACCUAGCGGCGGACGGGUGAGUAAUACUUAGGAAUCUGCCUAUUAGUGGGGGACAACGUUCCGAAAGGAGCGCUAAUACCGCAUACGCCCUACGGGGGAAAGCAGGGGAUCUUCGGACCUUGCGCUAAUAGAUGAGCCUAAGUCGGAUUAGCUAGUUGGUAGGGUAAAGGCCUACCAAGGCGACGAUCUGUAGCGGGUCUGAGAGGAUGAUCCGCCACACUGGGACUGAGACACGGCCCAGACUCCUACGGGAGGCAGCAGUGGGGAAUAUUGGACAAUGGGGGGAACCCUGAUCCAGCCAUGCCGCGUGUGUGAAGAAGGCCUUUUGGUUGUAAAGCACUUUAAGCGAGGAGGAGGAGCCCUAAGUUAAUACCUUAGGUGCUCGGACGUUACUCGCAGAAUAAGCACCGGCUAACUCUGUGCCAGCAGCCGCGGUAAUACAGAGGGUGCGAGCGUUAAUCGGAUUUACUGGGCGUAAAGCGUGCGUAGGCGGCCACUUAAGUCGGAUGUGAAAUCCCCGAGCUCAACUUGGGAAUUGCAUUCGAUACUGGGUGGCUAGAGUAUGGGAGAGGAAGGUAGAAUUCCAGGUGUAGCGGUGAAAUGCGUAGAGAUCUGGAGGAAUACCGAUGGCGAAGGCAGCCUUCUGGCCUAAUACUGACGCUGAGGUACGAAAGCAUGGGGAGCAAACAGGAUUAGAUACCCUGGGUAGUCCAUGCCGUAAACGAUGUCUACUAGCCGUUGGGGCCUUUGAGGCUUUAGUGGCGCAGCUAACGCGAUAAGUAGACCGCCUGGGGAGUACGGUCGCAAGACUAAAACUCAAAUGAAUUGACGGGGGCCCGCACAAGCGGUGGAGCAUGUGGUUUAAUUCGAUGCAACGCGAGACCUUACCUGGCCUU